rnacentral:rRNA from 1 species
CCCUUAGAUGUUCUCGGCCGCACACGCGCUACACUGAAAGAGGCAACGUGUUUGCCUGAUUCGAAAGAAUUGGGUAACCCCCUAAUCUCUUUCGUGUUGGGGAUUGAGGUUUGCAAUUAUCCUUCAUGAACGAGGAAUUCCCAGUAAGUGCGAGUCAUUAUCUCGCGCUGACUACGUCCCUGCCCUUUGUACACACCGCCCGUCGCUACUACCGAUUGAAUGAUUUAGUGAGGACUUCGGACUGAGUCCAAUGCGGCUUUCGGGCUGCGUUGGUAUUUCGGAAAGAUGUCCAAACUGUAUCAUUUAGAGGAAGUAAAAGUCGUAACA